CCACGACCAAGACUCUAAAAAACAGAGAGAAAAGAAAACCAAAAACCAUUUCUUGGCUGGCUUGAAGAGAUUCUAAAGAGAUCCAAGUGAAAUCAAAGCCAAAGAAGUGGAUUAAGCUUAGUUCUGGCCUUUUUAUGGAUAAGCACAUCAACACCUAAGACACCACUUGUUACACGGUGAAAUAUAUUUUGGACAGAAGGUAGAGAAAGAAAUGAGUGAAUGACAAAGGAGAACAGAAGCAUGGUCCUGACUCUGAUUUGUACAUAUGAAUAUAUCGACCUUUUGUGGGUUAUUUCAGUUUAUCAGUGUGUAUGGUUGUAAUAAAGUGCGAAGUUAUGUUUUGAAAACUAAUUGGGUUAUUUAAUACUUAUAUAUAAUAUGUUUGAGACACAUUUUAUGUUUAAUGUAAAUAAUGUGAAAUAAGUU